GGGUUGGUAGCUCAGUGGUAGAGCGUCGGUCUGAAGAGUCGAGUGUCGUUGGUUCAAAUCCAACCCAACCCA
rnacentral:tRNA from 1 species